GAUGAACGCUGGCGGCGUGCUUAACACAUGCAAGUCGAACGGGAAACCUUUUAUUGAAGCUUCGGCAGAUUUAGCUGGGUUCUAGUGGCGGACGGGUGAGUAACGCGUGGGUAACCUGCCUUAUACGGGGGGAUAACAGUCAGAAAUGGCUGCUAAUACUGCAUCACCGCACAGAGCUGCAUGGCUCAGUGUGAAAAACUCCGGUGGUAUAAGAGGGACCCGCGUUGGAUUAGCUGGUUGGUGCGGUAACGGCCCACCAAGGCGCCGAUCCAUAGCCGGCAUGAGAGGGUGAGCGGACACACUUGGACGAAGCCACAGUACGGACUCCUACGGGAGGCGGCAGUGGGGAAUAUUGCACCAUGGGGGAAGCCCUGAUGCUGCUCCGCCGGGUGAAGGAUGAUGUAUCGCGGUAUGUAAACUUCUAGCAGCAGGGCAGAUAAUGACGGUACCUGACUAAGAAGCCCCGGCUAACUACGUG
rnacentral:rRNA from 1 species